UCUAUCUAUCUAUCUAUCUAUCUAUCUAUCUAUCUAUCUAUCUAUCUAUCUAUCUAUCUAUUAGUGAUGUAGCAGCAAAAAGAGUGGUUUAAAAAGCAUGCUAUUAAUUCUUGUAAAAUUACAAUUCAGGCACCAGGUCACGCAGGUCAUGAGGCAUAGAGAUGUAAAUGCUGUGUUUUUGAGAAAAAAGGUAAGCAGACAAUGAAAGAUCAUAUGGUUCACACAAGACAUCUUUGACUAAAUUCCAGUCAUCAUUCUUUUAGAGUGAAUACGGCAACUAGAUAGAUAGAUGGAUACAUAGAAAGCAGGAAGAUACAUAGAAAGCAGGGAAAUUAAAAAACAUAAAUUCAAUUCAACUUCAAAUUAUUACAGAUAUUUUCAAUUACAUAUAAUAAUUUUAAUGAGUUUUAAUCUUACAUAAUACAAUUUAUAAUAUAUUCUAUUUAUUUUAUUUUGUUUACAGGUGCGUGUUGCAUUAAACUGAAGUUCAUAGGACUCAUGCAGUUGUAAAGGAUGGCAAAGGAAUUUUUUGAAGUUGUGUUAAAGUUCUUCUUGCUGUUCUCUGCUGCAAACAAGGGAUUAGAGGUCACAUUGGAAAACAAAAGAAGGGCAGACUUAGAAGAGAAAGUAGGAAGCAUUUCUUUAUACAAAAGGUCACUAAUCUAUUCAAGGUCUAUCGGAUCAUGUUGUUAAUACCAAAACACUGCUUUCUUCUAAAAGAAUGAGCCUGUAAGAGUUGCAGCUACAAGAUCAGGCUGGUGACAUUUUAUUGGAAAAAACCUGAGACCUCAUAUCGAAGAAGCAGUGAGACUGUAGUGCUUAAAUAGUUGGUCUGAGACCAACACCUGCAGGUUCAGAUUGCACUUUGUAGUUCAUUUUGAGCACAUCUCUUAAAUUUAUUGGAUUUCUGCAAACAAUUUUGAUAUCAGGGUUGUCAAGUCUUCCUGAUUUCAAGAAUGAAACCUUUAAGAUUUACCAAGACCGAAUGAAUGCCUCAGAAUAUAUUUCUACUUGGAGAUGAAAUUUUUAAAAUGAAGAUGAUGUACAUUCACAAACCACUAAGAAGAUAAUAUGUACUGUAUAUACUGCGCAGAAUCCCCUUACAAGUUCAAGAUUUUGAUGGAAGACGUAGGACAUGCCCAGUUUUUGUGAAUGCGCUAAGUGAGCUGAAACAGUAUUAAUCUAUUAUACAGAAGGGAGUUUGUCUUUUAUUAGUGUGAAGGACAGAGUCUCACUUGGGACACAGGUCCCUUUGCACCCAGCCGUUAAUGCUCAGUAAUAAAAGGGCAUUAGGGUUCCCAUGAGGAAUGUUAGUUUUAGCCUUCUUUGCUGCUCUUUAUACUCCAAGAAGGAAUAGCUGAUAGAAUUAAUAAAUCUAAGGUUUUUAUAUGGUUGACUCAAGUAACAGCACUAAAAAGAUAAGCAUUGCUUCUAAGCUAUAUUAAGUAAAUAGUGUAACUAUUCUACAACUUUUUCAAUGAGGUGUAGAGAAAAAUAUUGCAUAGUAAUCAACUAGGAUUUUAUUUUAAUUAGUUUGUGAAUCUAAAUUGAGUUCCAGAUCUUUUGUGGUGGCUGAUUUUUCUUUAUCCCUUUGCUGAAAUGAAACAUUAUUCAUAAAAUUUACAGUAUGUGUAAAGUGGUUAUCAUGCAGUGCUUGCGAAACAGGAGAAAAAUAUUAUUCAAUAUCACUUAUGCAUCAUAUUGCAAUAUCAUAAUUUGUCUAUCUAAUAUAGUACCCUUCCCAGUCCCUUUAAGCAAGCACAAAAACAAAAUAAUGCAUCUGUUACAAACUACCUGCAAUAUAUCAACAUUUGUUAGAAAAAUGAAUUGUACUGUAAAGCAUUUUUGUGAUAAUAAAAAAAUAAAAAUUUACUAGAAAGUA